AGAUUAUAUUAUUUCUGUUUUUAAUUUGCAUGAACGAAAAUGCAUACCAAUUUAUACAUUUUAAGUCUGAUAGCAGCACAUACAUACAAUAAAAAUUCAUAUAUUUUCAUGUCUGAAUGUUGAUUCUGUAUUAUGAUACACACUUUUUCUUUACACAAACAAGAAAAAAAUGGAAUUAUAGCAGAAUGAAUGCAAUAUCACGUAUAAUGGAGAAGGAAGAACAGUUAAAAUAACAGCAAAACAGAAAAAAAGACAAAAAAACACCAUAUUUCUUCAAAGAGGAAAAUAAAAUAGAUCAUAUAUAGAGCUAAGACUUGAUUAAUGUUAGUGCAAAUUAAUAUGUAGAAAAAAAAGUAAAUUAUCAAUUUUCUAGCCUCGUUUUGGCCAGUUUUAAACAAUUGACGUUACUGACAAUGUAUUGUCAGAAGCAACCAAUUCUGAGAUUAUAAAGAUGGCAGUCUAACCUUAUAGACUGGGUCAAGAAACACCAGCAUAGUAGUCAUUAAGAUUUAUAUAGACUUUAAGCAGUUAUUGAUUUGCUGCAGAGUAUAAUCUGCAUAUAGAUAUAAUCUAUAAAUAGAUCUGAAUCAAGACAUGUCCAUAAUCACAAUGCUAUAUUAAAUUUGCUGAACUUAAAACUAGAGCUAAAAGGCAAUACAAUCUUUUUAAUAUCUUGGUAACAUUCACAAAAUGCAUGAGGAUUCCAAAACUGAUGACAUUUUAAUAUACAGUGAAAAAAGACUGUAGAAAAAACAUAACGGAAAAACGGCAAAAACAACAAGACAAUAAAAACCAGGGCAAGCAAUUUUACCUUUCACUGGCAUAUUUUGGACAACGAGGCUCAUUUCAGAUAUAGCUGAAAAUCUGCCACAGACUGCUGAGGAUGGCAUUAUUCCUCAUAUGGUACAAGAGAACGGAACAUCCGGGUAUUUUUAAGAUAAAGUGCAUCUGUAAUGCACUUAUUAAUGCACCUUAAAUGCAAUAGAAAGUUGUCAUCUGUAAAUGUUUCUAGUCAGGUGGCUAGGAUAUGCAAAGACGGUGAAUUAUAGGUGUUUUAUGACCUUCUGUGAGAUUAGAAAAAUCCUGCUGACACAGAAGUCUUUGAAUAUGGAAUAAACAAAACCUCAAAUUGUGCUGUGCUGGAAGUCAACAAAACUUCAAAUUGUGGCAUGCCACAAAUCAUAGAAUUCACCCACAUGACAGGAUUUGUGGCAACAAAGAAGAGAAACCAGGCAGCACUCCAGGAUAAUGAAGGUAAGUUUAUUCGUGGGUUCAUCACCUCACUAAAAAACCAGUGCGACGUUUCGGCAGAUUCACUUUAAAGUUAACAAUUUUGUGGCACCAUCACCAUGUUGCAAGUUAAACUAUUGUAAAACGGUUUAUAGACAAAUAUAAAUGUCUGUUUAUAUCAAACUAUUAAAGGGACAAUCCAAGGCAGAAAAUGUAUCACCUUUAUUAUUAACCUGCAUUGUUAAAAUGUAACACACACAGAGUUACAAGCCACGUAAAAUACAAUAAAUAGCUACCUUGUUGUUGCAGGUUAACAGCAGCUCCCAGGGUGUGAUCCACCCCCUUUUGUAACAAGGAAGUGUCAUUAUAUUCUAGUCAAUUCUGUUUCUCCAAUUCACUUGAACCAGAGGAACAGGAUACUUUACUGAGAACAGCUUCUAUGUAUAACUUCACACAUGCACAUGCCACACGCCACACAGGGCUCCCAUUCAUCUGUCCGACGAACACUGCAACAACGUUACGUGUAUUGCUAGUUGCAUCACUUCCAAUUGGAAGUGAGAGAAAAGGUAGUGUUUAUAUAUACGAUGCAAAACAUCUAAAUUGUUAUUUUUCUUUAUACAUUGUCAGAUGUGUGUGGAGUGUCUCUCUAAGAAUACAACUUUUUAGUAAGUAGCUAGGUUUCUCUUUAAUUAGCAAUACCUACAAAGAAAUACAUUGUAAAUUAAUACCCUAUCAACCCUGACAAACUAUUUAACAGCUAAGCAGAAACCCAAAACAAAAACUCAAACUAAAGUUUUUAACCUGGAGAAAGUAAGCACGGAUAAUAGGUUAGACAAGCAGAAGAGGAGUAGAAUUGACAAAAUUACCUUUUAUGCACGACUAAAACUACGUUAUAUAGGAUUGACAUAAAUAGAGGAAAUGCAUGAUUGUGUCCCUAUUGGGAAUAUGGCAGGUCAGAACAGAGGGCCAAGGCUGGACACUACUCCCCCUGGUCUGACCAAGACAUGAGUCCUACAACAUGUAGUUUCUGUGGCAGGUCUGGAGUGUUACCCUGUAUAAAUAGCAUUCCACCUAGAAAACCAAACAGAUUGGCUGAGAGAGCUAUAUUAUAGAUUACAUUUUCUAAGAAUAAUUAUAACCCAUUGAUCUUUUUUUAAUACGGUCAAUCUAACUCAAUCUAACCUAUUAGAGCAGACGAUGACUGAUAUACAAAGUAUUUCAUUCAAUGACCCAACAUUGUAUUUGCUAAAUGAGUCCAUUCUGGUUGCUGGGUUGUGACAUACAGUAAACGCACCAGAUCAAUCGCCAUGAGGUUAAUUUUCGUCACUCUAUAGCAGACACAAAAAGACAUCUGUGCACUGUGCCAUUUCUUAAAUAAAACGACUGACAACAUACCUACAGAAAACAAAGACAGCACUCAAUGAGAGGUGUAGAAUUGUUCGUUUUGAAGGAAUCAAGUUAUUGGAUUGUUUUGGAUUAAUGUUCGUUAACUGGAAAAUAUUUUUUUCAGUAGCUAGAGAAUAAACAAUACAAUUAUGUUAACUUGGUAAAAUCACUAAAUAUCAGUUGUUACGGCAUUACAUAUCAUAUGUAAUGUAACCCAACUAGUAGAACAUAUAUUUUUAACAAAUAGAACAAGGAUUCUGCAUGUUCUCAGUUAAUUUGGACUGGUAUGAUAUAUGUACAUUAAAUUGCGUACAAUAUAUAUAUAUAUAUAUAUAUA